GAAUUGCGGAAUUCACAAGGAAAAAAAUUCUCAACUUGAUAAUUUCACAACUUUUACAUUGCGAAAUAAUAAUAAGCAUAGCUAGAGACACAAUGUAAACUUUGUUAAAAUAGUGAUGUUGACUUAGUCCUUUGCAAAAUUGACGAAAGACUCGUUCAUUUCGCUGGCAACAUUCGUACGGAUAGGAUGCGUGACAAAUCGCAAACCACAAACCCCGUUCACGUUUCAUAUUGUGUUAAAAAUAUAAAUUGUUUCUUUAAAGUUAAAGACUGUUAAAGAUCGAUAGUGAAAAACAUUUUUAAUUAUUAAUAUAAAGGAUGGACGACUUAAGUGUGUUUCUGCUCAACUGUGAUUUGAUACACCUUUAUGGAUCGCUAAAUGAUCAGGGCGCGGAUCUUGAUUUUUUGUUAAAAGCAAAUGACCAUGAACUGUCGACAUUGGUCCCAGCAAUAGUUCAGAAAGGAAAACUGCGCAUGGCGUUAGAUC